GACGAACGCUGGCGGCGUGCUUAACACAUGCAAGUCGAACGGUAAGGCCCUGCUUUUGUGGGGUGCUCGAGUGGCGAACGGGUGAGUAACACGUGAGUAACCUGCCCUUGACUUUGGGAUAACUUCAGGAAACUGGGGCUAAUACCGGAUAGGAGCUCCUGCUGCAUGGUGGGGGUUGGAAAGUUUCGGCGGUUGGGGAUGGACUCGCGGCUUAUCAGCUUGUUGGUGGGGUAGUGGCUUACCAAGGCUUUGACGGGUAGCCGGCCUGAGAGGGUGACCGGCCACAUUGGGACUGCGAUACGGCCCAGACUCCUACGGGAGGCAGCAGUGGGGAAUAUUGCACAAUGGGCGGAAGCCUGAUGCAGCAACGCCGCGUGCGGGAUGACGGCCUUCGGGUUGUAAACCGCUUUCGCCUGUGACGAAGCGUGAGUGACGGUAAUGGGUAAAGAAGCACCGGCUAACUACGUG
rnacentral:rRNA from 1 species